rnacentral:rRNA from 1 species
CGCCUUGCCAGCCCGCUCAGAAACUCAAAGGAAUUGACGGGGGCUCACACAAGCGGUGGAGCAUGUUGCUCAAUUCGAUGCAACACGAAGAACCUUAUCCUGGGCUUGACAUACACGGAUGCCUGCCCCGAAAGGGAACAGGUUACCCCUCUGGGGUGAAACGUGAACAGGUGCUGCAUGGCUGUCGUCAGCUCGUGUCGUGAGAUGUCGGGUUAAGUCCCAUGACGAGCGAAACCCUUGCCGUUAGUUGCCAGCGGGUAAAGCCGGGAACUCUAGCGGGACUGCCGGUGUUAAACCGGAGGAAGGCGGGGAUGACGUCAAGUCCUCAUGGCCUUUAUGCCCAGGGCUGCAAACGUGCUACAAUGGCUGGGACAAACCGACGCAAAACCGCGAGGUCGAGCAAAUCGGAAAAAACCAGCCCCAGUUCGGAUUGGAGUCUGCAACCCGACUCCAUGAAGUUGGAAUCGCUAGUAAUCGCGGAUCAUCAGGCCGCGGUGAAUGUGUUCCUGAGCCUU